rnacentral:rRNA from 1 species
CUACGGAGGGUGCAAGCGUUAUUCGGAAUCACUGGGCGUAAAGGACGCGUAGGCGGGUUGGCAAGUCAGAUGUGAAAUCCUACAGCUUAACUGUAGAACUGCAUUUGAAACUGCUAACCUAGAGUAUGGGAGGGGGAGAUGGAAUUAGUGGUGUAGGGGUAAAAUCCGUAGAUAUCACUAGGAAUACCGAAAGCGAAGGCGAUCUCCUGGAACAUAACUGACGCUAAGGCGUGAAAGCGUGGGGAGCAAACAGGAUUAGAUACCCGAGUAGUCC